AUUACAUUUUUAUGAAUUUCUUCUCCAUGCUUUCUUCCUGUGUCUGCAUGAGCUUAUCACAAGGUCUCCUUAUGUUUGAUAAAUUUGAGCUAAUGCCUGACCCCUUUCUUGUGCAAUUCAUACCAUCUUUGAGCCUGAUAUUUAAAACUAUGAGUAGCUAUUAAUUUCAUAGUAGUUAUUGUCCUAACUAAGGAAGCACAAGUCUUAUCUUAAAGAUAAAGCCCUAGGCGGUAGAGCCAGGUACAAAAGAAAACUGAGCUAAGUUGAUAUAACAUAAGGCAAAUAGAUGGUCUAAGAAAAAUUCUAAGCGACCAUUUCACUUAAAUGGUGCCCAAGAUGCAAUUUUGGUCAACCAGAUGAUUUUCUAUCAUAUAGACACUACCUUAAUGUAAGUUCCUUUUCUAGCUUUCUAGUCAUGCCAGUAUGUUGAGGACAAGAUGAGCUUUAUGGAAAUGAAAUCUGUGGAGCUGCUGCAGGCCCUGUGCUCGGGAGGGCCCCACAAUUGCUUUCAUACUCUGCUGUCACCAUCUUGAAAUUCAUAGUAAUUUUAAAACAGGAGAUCCCCCGUUUUCAUUUCGUGCAGGGCCCUGCAAUUUGUGGGUCCGCUCGUGGCUGAAGGCCCCUCCAACUACCAACCAGCUGUCAUCCAGGACAAGAUUUUAUGGACGUCAUGGCUUUCAGUGGCUAAAGCCCAGCGCUAGCCCCUGUCCCAACAAAUUGAAAAACUGAAUGCCAGGAAAAUCCACCCUUCAGUUAAAAGAUGUGUUGGAAAACAAGUUGCUCUUCGAAAUGACCUAAAGAGGAAUCUGAGGGAGACAAGGUAGACCAGACACCUGGAGGCUCCUGGAAUCUUGGAAUUCUGGUUCAGGUGCUCACUGAAUUUGAAGAAAGAGCAGAGGAAUAAGUCAUCCAUGAAAAUAAGUUUUGGUCCAUUACCCUAGAACAAAGAGAAAUCAGAUAACUAUACGAACCGCGUGAACAUUUCAUAAUGGGCAGAAUUGUUGAAUCGCUACAUUGUGUUCCUAAACCUAAUGUAACAUUGUCUGUCAACUGUAAUUCAACAGUAAAAUAAAAAGUUUUAUUUAUUUUUAUUUAUUUAUUUUUAAAUAGGCUCCAU